rnacentral:tRNA from 1 species
GGACAGGUAGCUCAGUGGUAGAGCAUGUGUUUCUCACAUGCUAAGAUCUGGGUUCAAAUCCCAGCACCACCA